rnacentral:rRNA from 1 species
UACGAAGGGGGCUAGCGUUGCUCGGAAUCACUGGGCGUAAAGGGUGCGUAGGCGGGUCUUUAAGUCAGGGGUGAAAUCCUGGAGCUCAACUCCAGAACUGCCUUUGAUACUGAAGAUCUUGAGUUCGGGAGAGGUGAGUGGAACUGCGAGUGUAGAGGUGAAAUUCGUAGAUAUUCGCAAGAACACCAGUGGCGAAGGCGGCUCACUGGCCCGACACUGACGCUGAGGCACGAAAGCGUGGGGAGCAAACAGGG